GCCAAUCAAAGCAAUCUACAGAAAAUUCUAUUUUUGGCAGAAACUUCCCCCAUCCCGCAGACUAUCUUGAUGAUGAUCACAACCUGCGAUCAUGAAAGACUUGAGGUCAAGAAAUAUGGAGCGUAGAGAAGAAAGAAUACAGUGCUCGAAAAGAACAAGGAUAAGUCGAAAAGCUGUGUCAUAAAAUCAUCUCCUUUUCAUUUAUUCUUGCUUCCAAAACUCUGGAAGGAUGUUUGAUUUUUAACUUCUAGGGUCCAGUUUGUCCGCCCCUCCCAAAAAAAAAACUGGAUUGACCAAACUGCUUCACCAAAAUUGGAUUUACUAAUUGACUGGUCCAAAAGAUUUAGUACAAAAAUACAGACAGCGAAUCAGAUGUUUGGUCCGUUGAAGUUCAUUUCAGCGGAGUUGGACUGUAUUGAAAUUAUGAAAUCACCUUAAUUGGUUAUUUCUACCUUCUUUUAAAAUCUCCCACUUGCGAGUAAAUGCAUUAUUUGCACAGUAAAAAAUGAAAUGCUUAUUUCUGCGAGGAAAAAUUAUUUCAUUUAUAAAUUUUUAUAUUGCGUAGAAACGAAACCAAAUGUUAGCGAGUGAAAUGCUUGCAGUUAAGAAUUAAGCUUGUUCUAGUACAUUUGAAAUUAAAAAAAAUUGUUUUUGUGUA
rnacentral:lncRNA from 1 species